CAGCAUCACUCAGAGCCUCCCAGGCUGUGAACGUUUUAUUGUAUUUAUCCCUGAAGCGUGCACAUGUGCAAGCAGAGGAUCAGCACUCGCUGAGUUUAGCUCCUUCCCUACAACAGCACGUACGCAGUCAGCAGAAAGAAAGCACCCAUCUCACGAACUAAAAUAAGCACUGUAGACUUUUCCCAUUUCAAGCUGCAGCUAUCACAGUCCUGAGCUGCUGCUGCUCAUCAGAAUGAGUGAAGCACAAGAAAGAUGUAACAAAUCAAUAUAUUAAAUUCAGCCCAGGGAAUGAGAGAUGUUUUGUUACUCUGUCAGACAAGCCUCCCAGUUUUGGCGCUGAGACUUCUCAAAUCUCACUUGCUGUCAGGGCAGAGAGGAUUUCUUCUUUCUGUAGAAACAUUAUAUUUUACUGAGCAUUUACAGAGCCUUGGGGACAAGCUCAGAGCCGAGGGGAUUUAUCCCAGCUCUGCUGCCUACCCCAGAGCCCAGGGAGUUGACCCAGGGAACAUCCAUCCCACUUUCUGUUUUACAAAAAAAAAAAAAAAAAAAAAAAGGAGGAGGAGAUUUGGAACAACUUUUCUGGACUCGCACACACUCACCAGCCAAGACUUCUCCUACCAGCACAGCUAACCAUAUUAACGGAGAAAAAAUCUGUUGUCUCUCUCCUGUAAAACCAACUAAACGCUGUGUGACUUCCAAACGAGAGAGCUGCAGAGGCAAAACGAAGAGGGAGGAGAGAGGAGGAGAAAGGAAAGCUCUCGGAGGGCUGAAAUGCAAGGACACGUCUACUGACUUACUGUUGCAACCGAGGAAAGUGCCAUUCGACUCCAUGGCCGCCAAAGAAGGUGACGUGCAGCAGCCGAAAGGGCUUCGGGAAACAGCUGUGCCCAGAUGUUAGCUAGCUGCGGGUGGAAGCCAGACCCAGCAGGCUCCCUCUGCCCCCCGCUGCAGCGAUCCCCAACGUCAGUUCCCUUCCCCUUGGCUGCAAAGAUGUCUUCGCUAUGACUCCUCAUUUAUUUCUCUCCCGCAUCCGCGCGCCCCAUGCAUCGACUGAAGCCAAGCGCUGAGCCCCAGCGCCGUGCUGGCCCUGGCUCCUCCCCAUUAAAUCUGGCCGUCAUCGCUGCCCAGCCUCCUGCUUCUGCAGCUCUGAGCACUGCCUCUGUUUGCAGCUGGCUCCAACGCUCUGCUCCUUUGCUUUAUGCCUUCCAGAAGACGCCGAGCACCCAAAAAGACCCCGCAGUCUGUAAAUCCAAGGGAAGAGCCCAGAGCUGGAGGCAGUGCCUGGGGUUGGAAGGGCUUGAGUGCACUGGUGGGGACUUAUUUCAUGACGGGACAAACACAGCAGCAAAACAACAGGUCAGAAAUUGCCAGCGUAGAGCUGUAACCACAAACGCUCACAGAGCGGGUGCUUAAAGCAGAAGAAGGUUUGCAGCCUUCUCAUUUGAUACCAUGAAGCAGAAGCAGAAAAAACUCCUCGCUGCCUUCAGGCUUUUACUGAGCUGUUUUCCUUUGUCCUUUCCCCCUCUCUUUGUUCAGAUGUUUUAAAGGGGUGAAAGGAUAAUGCGGGGAAAAGAGGGAAGGAGAAAGAAAUGGAAUCCACAGUGGGAAAGUAAAGCUCCUACUUGAAUGGUAGAGGGAGGUUUUCAAUCAUUGUUUUGUUACUGUUUAUUUUUGUUUCUGGUUGUUUAAGUGAUCUCUAUGCAAUUGAUGCAGCUGUCAGAAGCUUCAAGUCCCUUGUUCCUCAGCAGCUGUGAGCCUGGCAGCUCCACCAACAGAAGGCAAAAGCCUCUCACUGAGUGGGACAGAUCUGAGGUGCACAUGGUGAUAAAUCCUUUGGGACUAUUUGCCCCUCCCUGCCAGAAGUCAGGCCGCUCCUUCAAGAGCCCAGUUUUCCAACACACAGGCUGCCCUAAUAUAGCAGAACUCCUCUGUGCUGGCACAAAGUGCAAGAGCAAGCAAGUGGAGAACAUACAGAGCUGACAUUUUGCUUUGUGCCCUUCAAAAGCUCAAGCUCAACCUCAACCCUACAGCCUCCACCAUCCCUUCAGACACUUUCGGAAGGACCCAGGAAGGAAUACCCCCGUUUUGCAAACACAUGGACAAGGAAAUGUUGUUUUGGGCAGGGUGAAACUUUUGGGCUGGAAGGCAGCUGGAGGCCUCCGAAAGAUUCUUGUGGAAUCUUUCAAAACAAAUCCUUCCUUAAAAGCCCUAAAGUAGGGGGAUUUCCAGAGGACACCGCCAAAACCCAUCACCCUUUCAGCUGAUGGGGAGGAGAGGUACAGAAGGGACUGUAGGAGAGGCCUGUAGAUGAGUCAGACAAACUGGAAACUCCGGUAAAGCAGUGGUGGUGAGGGCAUGAUAGUAGCUGUCAGAAGGGAGGAGAGGUAGAGAAGGGCAGUUUGAAGGUGAUGAUGGGAAACAGCAUUACAGCAAAUCCUUUUCCUUUCUCUGUACCCCACACCGCAGACUGGAUAGCAUUGCUUCACAACAGUUGCAGCACUGUAGCACCUUUCUGCCACCCUAAGCUAAGGCAUCAUUCCCCUAACUCCUUGGCACAUUUGAUGUUUUACUUGUGCUCAAGCGUUUGCAGACAGCCUUGCAUUCCUGGCAUUCAUCAGAAAGUACAGCAGUCGUCAUCAGAGCCAGUGAAACCCUGCGGCAAACACAGUGAGGCUGAGAUCAUAGAGCACAGGUCUCACCAGACCCUUGUUGCACAAGGCAGCAUUCCUUUUGGCUGCAUUUCUGCAUGCAUGCCAUGCACACUUCAUGUCCUUUUUCCUUUGCACUGCUGAAACCAAUAUAUGUGUAGAAUAGCAAUGAAACCAAGGUGGCAUGAGGAGCUACGGGGCUCCUGUAAGCUGCAGAAAUCCUGCUAAUAUAUCCUAAGAUUAAAAGAGCAAUAUAAGACUCCCAUCAGACUGAAGUCCCUGAUGCCCAUUUCAGAUCAUAGCACUCACUGUUUGCCUUCCUUGUUUGGGUUUUGGCUGAUCCAGGAGGCUCAGGGUGUUAAGGAGGAUCGACCUUUUCCCAGUUAAACCUGUAUUACAGCUGAGAGGCAAGUUUAAUAUUGGUGAUAAAAUGCAAAAUGUCAGUGUUCAUCUGGAAGCCCUAAGAAAACCAUUUGCUUUGUAACAAAAUGCAUAGAUUAGAUAGGCUACAUCUGCAUGGUCAUAUCUUUUGGUUUAUUUUUUAAAAGUCUGUCUGAAUUUCUGAAUGCUUCUUUCCUAUUCUGAAUACACCUCCUAAGCUCUGUCCACCAACCUCACAACCAGUUCUGUGGCUGUUGGUCUUUGAGACCGAACCUGGAUUUGAAGGGCAGAGUUCAGUAUAACUAAAAUUAAACAUCACCUCUCUGUGUAUGUUGUCUCCACUCACAAUCCUGCUGCUAAGGGCCAAAGUUGAAUAAACACAAUUUAUUCUGAGCAGAUCCAUCAUGGCAUCUGUAAGGUGGCAUUUCAGUGCCCUUGUUAGGCACGGACAGUUUGUCUUUCUCUGCUUUAUCGGCUUUAAAAAUUAACCUUUACAGUGAAAGUAACAAUGAGACUGUAAUUUAUUUGUUUUUUGUGGUUGCUUACUUUCCUUCUGCCCAUGCUGACUAAGCCCUAUUUAUCUCUUCAUAAAACUGCUUCCUCCAGGAUUUUACAGCAGGGGAGUUAACACGCACUGAUUGUUUCAUGGGAGGAACACACCUUUUUCAGCAGUGAAGACAAAAGGUAACAGAAAAACCCAUUUUUCCCAGAUCCCCAAAUACAUGAUAGAUGAUGAGGGCUGGAUUUAUUCUCUCUGGACCCCAAUGGGCACCACCCAUGAGCAGUGAUUUCACCGCUGAGCCCAGCUUGGUGUCUCCCAGCUUUCUGCAUGCUGCCGGUUACUAUAUUUAAUGGCUCUCCAAGACUUGGAAAGCUGCGUUAUUUCUCUGCCUUUGUUGUCAUGGAUUUUAAUCCCUAAAUCAUCCUACCAGGCUGGAGAGGAAUGUGAAGGAUCCCCAUCACUGCAGGCUUCUCCUGUCCUGCUUCUUUCUGGCCCUCCUUGGAGCUGGGCUCCUGGCUGCCAGUGGCUGCCUCAUUCCCUUCCCUAAAGGAUAAAAAGAAGUGGAAUACCACUAAAAAUUAAAGUGAUAGGAUAAGGGUAAGUAAAUCAAGGAGAGGAGCAGGCAGUUGUAGAGCUCCUCAGCCUCAGUGCACAGGGGAUGUUCUCCUUAUUCACAUGGGUUGGAGCUGUAGGAUGGGAACCAUAUGCAGAACAAUGCAUUAAAAGGAGUAUCUAGAAAUCUCAUGGGAGAGGGAGAAGAUAGGAAAGGACCCAAAGCCUACACUGCACAGUUUUAUCAGCGUGUGCAGAAAGAAACCUAGACACGACAAUGACUCAGGAAAUAAGAAACAAGCUAUUUUUUGUUCCCUUCUUCGUUUUUCACUGCCAAGAGAAACACUCCCUUGAGACUGUCAGCCAAGAGGGAGAGCACAGCUCCUGCAACCUCCUCCCCUUGGCCACAUGUGAGGGCUGAUAGAACUGAAGGGAGCUCAAAGCCCAUUUCUUAGGUCCACCAGUGAAGGGUGCGGGGAGGAUGCAUUUCUUGAGUGGGAAUCUCUGAGCAGGAAGAGACCCAAGCUGCUGUGAGAUCCUCACUGGGGCUUUGGAGAUGAGGUUCCUAGGAGGAUCAUCAAGGACCCAUUUUGGUACAUGCACUAUCUUCCCAGUCAUCAUGAAAAGCUUCUUCUAACCCCUGAAAUUCAGACUUGCACCAAUGACAACACUGGUAUCCCACAGCUCCUGAUUACAGGAGGCACAAAGGCAUUAUGAGGCCCAUUUUCCUCCACAGCCCCUCUAGUUCAGUUCUGCCACAGCUCAGACAGGCUGAAGGUCCAGAAAAGACAGCUGAGCUGUGCCACGCUCAGCUCUCAGCUGAGGAUGUUUAAAGCAGGCCUUUCUUCACACCAAUUCCUCUUUCAGCCAAAAAGACUCAACACCGAAGUCAAGAGCAACAGACAAAAGCAAUUCCAUCUCAAAUGAAUAGGAAAGCCUUCUGUGAGCACCCUACUCUUUUCUUGUCCAUCAUUUCCUGAACUCACCAAGAGGCAGAGCCAGGGCUUUCCAAGGCCUUCCCAAACUAGAACUGCCAGUUUUUAAAGAGUGCAAAGUCGUGGCCGUAACAUUUUAAUGAGGUCCAAGUCCUAAACCCAGGGCACGCCUUCAUGUAACCACUUGAUCUCUUGUUGUGUGAGUGUGGAAGAGUUCACUGUCACCAGGAAGGUGAGAUGGAGGAAUGGGCCUCCAUGUCCAACCCACCUCCAACACAUCCGCACACAGCCAUGCUAAAAUGGCUGACUGAAGUGGGGAUCUACAUGGUCAAAGAGAGCUCCUUUCCUCACACACACCUACACCCCUUUUACUCUCCUCUGUGCACACAGCCCAUUCCAGGCAGCAAAGAGCAUUUGCAGAGUUCAAAGCCAAAAAUGUUCACGAGGUUCCAUUCCACAGCAAACCAUAAACUACAGCAUACCCAAAGCAAGGUAGACCUUCACCUGACUCCGCUCUGAAAGCAUGACUCAAGUGUUUGCUGUACACAGUGGAAAGAGUAGUUCAUAAUCUCAGAGGAAUGCUACACCACCCGGUCACCAAGUAUUUCCUAUGGAGAAGAUACCUCUUGGCUCCCUCUGCCUUUCAGAUCUCACACACACCCUCCAUGUCUCUGAAAUGUUCCUGACUGCCUCUCCCAAAGAUAAAAGCUCUGUUUGCUUUGCAAGAAGGAUUCCAGAUUUCUGUCACCACAACAAGGCAGGACUGUAAGAACCACUUGGGGUCAUAUAUCCAGCAGCGAGCUACGGGUGCAACGUGGGGUUUUCUGUCAGCAGAAUUACCGAAACCAGCACCAAAUAAAUGAAUAAAUAAGUAAAUAAUACCACAUUAGACUGAGGUCAUGUAAACACCAAAGCGGCACCUGGAUUUUUCAGACACUUCCAUUAUGGCCUGGCUGUUCGUUGAACUGUUUGUUGCCAUCUCUUCCUAAUCUGUUUACUGGUUGAGGCCAUUGCCGAAGUUUAGAUGGGGUGUCAUACCAACCUCCCUACAUCCCGCCGUCAUGUCACAUGUCAAGACAAUAACAGAUGAGCAGAAAAAUGUAGAAUGAACAGAAAAAUGUAGAAUUUUCAAGUGCCUUUUGCAUUUCAAGAGCUGCUCAGGGCUCUUGGUACAUAGUCUAUGCGUCAAUUUGGGUGGCCAACCCCGUUCACCCUGAUGACUCACAUUUUGUCAUGGUAUCAUUCUUUUGUUAUCACCACUGUUUUUCUUUAGGUGUUUCACGCUGAUAAUAUGUUGCAUUCCCUGCCUGUGCAGGGCUCUGGGAUUCAAAGGACUGGUCCUGCUGCUCGGUCGGCUCCAUCAAACGUUUACUCUUGGGCAUUCUCCCAGCGCUGCCAGGUCUCUGACAACUGCUGGUGUUCCACCUCGUGAGAAGCACACUGCAGUGCGGGGAAGGGCAGCCUCACAUCUCCGCAGGAGCUGGCAGAGCUCAGCCCCAUUGGAAAUCAGCUUCCUGUAGGAGGUGAAUUGGAAAAAAUUCAGAAAUGGGAUUUAUGGCACUGAAAGAACAGCGAGAUUAUUGGGUUUGUGAAGGACUUACUGGACAAAGUAAACCACUGCAAUUUAUAAAUAAGACUGAAACGUAAUUAACACAGUGCAGUACCAUGAAGUUCAGAGAAUGGAUAGGGCAGCCAAAUUCCUUGUUUAUCACCACAGGCAGCUGUGCCAAAAUAGCUUCAGAAGGAGGUUGAUGCAUUUGAACAAUUUAUUGCAGCAGAGUAGUACAUGGCCACAGGAAAAUGAAGCUACAGAUGCUGGGAUGUGUCAAGCUGAAUCUGCUCUGGCAUAAUCCCAUACAAGUCCCAUUAAAAUUAAUGAGGUACUUCUGCUUGAGCAGAAGAUAAAUUUUACUUUCUAAGCUAGAAAUACGCCUGUCAAACUCUGUAUAUCUUAAGUGUUUGGUGAGUUUCCAACCCCCCUUUGUCCAUUCCAUACAAGUAAUCAGAACCAGCUCUAACCACCAAAUAAAUCAAUAAAUG
rnacentral:lncRNA from 1 species